rnacentral:lncRNA from 1 species
CUUAAAUAACUUUAUUGCCACAACAUUUUACAUGUCGUGAAAUCAAGAUUUUGUUGUAGUGUAUGUACUAUCACACCGGCUGGCAAUUGCUCGACUAUCAUAGUCUCUGGUGUAACUGUCGGGAGUAUUUCAUUCGAAUUCGAGGGCAAGGAGUUACUGCAAUCACUGGCUGUAAUGCCUUUCAGUUGCAUUGCAGUACAGGAAGUAUUUUCACCCUCACCAUUUUAAAACUCAAUUUCCCCAUCUCCUUUGAACCAAAUCGACUCUAAGACAACCACAUUUCUUUUCUCAUUCAUCAUAUAUUAUUUAUGGAUUUAUUCAAAGGGAAAAUCAACAUCAAAUUCAGACCAUAGCUCACAAAGAUAUGAUUUUUAUGAAAUUUCAAAUUUUUGCAUACCUUUGAACUUUCAAUUAAAAGUUGUGGAUUUGAUUGUUGAUGAGGAGAUUAGAUUAGGUAGUUGUUGGGUUUCGUUGGUAGAUUAUUAUGAUUUAUUUUUUAUUUUUUGGCUGGAAUUCAUUCACUCAAUGCGUUUUAUCCCCAGCAUUUUUUCCCGCUCAUAAGAUAUUCGAUAAAAUGCCUUAACGGUGAUAUUUGGACCCCAUUUUCAUACGACUCACAUAUCAUCCCCUACAUUAUAUCCACGAGCGUACACAUUUGCAUUAUAUUCACAACGUUAUGUUCACGCAAAGCAUGUAGUUUCUGUUCCCUAUUUUCAACUCCUAUUUCCAUCCACCUCAUUGCACUCAUUAUUGAUCCAUUUGAGGUGUCUUGUGCUCCAAUUGUGCAUCGUAUCAUAUCCUUUGUGUACCUAUAAUAUUCAUGAUUUUCAUCUAAAAUUGAAGGUUACGAUGACAUUCAAAUGCAAACACCAAAAGCAACGGAAAAUAUGAAUGGAAAAGCUCAACUUUUGCCUACACCGACACACCCCUAAGUGAGUCUUUGCGGAUCUCUUUUGUUAUUCUUAUUGAGAUAUGAUUUAUAAUUGCAUAUUUUGAUAUAUAGUUUAAGUAUGGGAGUGGUUGUAUCAAAAUAAUAUACAUAUAUGAUGAUCGAUAUUGUGAGAGAUUUGAUUGCCGUGUUUGGUUGCAUGUCACUACUUCCGUAUACGUAAAAGAUUCAAAAAUAAUUUAUUGCUUUAUGUGUUCUUGUGAGUUGGAUGGCUUUGCUGACUAAUAAUGAUAUUAUUAGAAUUGCUAAGUUUCACGAAUUGUUUACCAGGUAGACUUGGAUUAUUUUGAAGGUUAUUCUUGUUAGAUUUUAAUAUAUUUUGAGCAUGAUAUUAGAAAGAAGCAGUUUAUUAUUGAUUCUAUCAAUAACGUAGCGAUAAAGCUGUCUACAGGUGAACUGAAAAGUAGAAAUAUCUAACGAAAUUUGAGGGAAAAAUAGUUAUGCUGAAAAAAUAAAAAAUAAAAAAUUGCAUUCAUAUUUGUCUACAUGCUCAUAUUAGCAGCUGCAGAGUAAAAUGCUGCAAUUCCUGGCUAAGCUUUAGACACUUAAAUGAAGGAUUUGAAUUUUUAAUGAUGGUAAGCCUUGGUGAAGUUCGAAGGUUGAGCUACUUAAAUUGAAGAAGAAUAAUAAUCAUAAAUCGAGAUAGUGACUUCCAUUGGUUAGAUCCAGACAGACUUUUACUAGAAAGGAAUGAGUAAUGAUAAUUUAUCUUUUAAAAUGAAUAACAUUUAAGUAAAAAGAACAAAUUUGGGCAUGCAUCUUACUGGAGUUUAUAGAUUGAAUUGACUAUACACACACAUCGAUCUAAUAUUGGAUGAGUGAAGGAAUUGAUCACGAUAGCAUAUCUUGGAAGCUGUGUAUUAACUGUUCAAGGAUUUCAAAAUAUGAGGCAAAACGAAAAGCAAUCUAACUAGGCAAAACGAAAAGCAAUCUAACUAUGUUAUUUAUAUUUUGUUUGUGUGUGUGCACUGAGUAACUAAUUUUGUUUUGGUCAAAUAAAUGAUCAAGUUUGGAGGUAUUUGAUAAGUAUGAUAUCUACACUCAUUCCAAAACAUCAAAAGUGGAUUACUGUGAUCCAACUUGAUGAUAUUAUUACUUAAUUUGAUUAAAUAUAGAUUGUUAUAGGAUAAAUUCAAGUUUGGACAACUAUUCAUGACAAAGUGGAAAUUGGCCAAAGAAAGGUGAAAAAUGAAGAAUUGUCAAGUUUAAGUUCUAAAUUACAAAUCUCUAGAAAUUGAUUUAGAUUAAGAGUGGAUAACUGAAUAUUACAUGGAUUAAAUUGGAUGAAUUGGAAUUUGAAGGAUUUGAAACAAUUACAGAAGAGGACCGAAGAUGAAAGGUGUAGAAGUUAGGGACCAAGAUGAACUAAAGUGGAAAUUAUAUACCAAUUUUUUUUAACUAUAUUUUUAUUCUCCAACAUUUUAAUUAGAGUGCAUUUGAUUGGCUUUAUUUUUGAUAAUAUAUAUAUAUAUAUCAUUUUUUUCACCUAUAUUCCUACUUUUGUUAUGUUUGAUAAACAAUUUUUUCAUAAAAAAUAUUUUCCAACUUUUGGUCAGGUUACCAUAUUUUCUUCAAAAAUAAGGAAAAUAUUUUCUUUAGUAAUUUGCUAUCUCUUUCUCUCUUACCUAACCAUUCCCUCUCAUCUUACCCACCAAUAAAAAAUAAAUAAGUAUAAUAUUUUUAGGUUGAAAACUAAAUCAAUCAAACAUAUUCAAUUACAGAUUUUCAUUCAAAUAAGUUCUAUAAAAUUGAAUUGUCUAAAAUUUAUUUUCUUCCUAUACAAAUUUCAUACUUGUAAUCAAACGUACCCCUACUAUUUCAUUUUCAUCUAAAAAAAUGGUGUGUUUAGCUUAUUGUUUUCAAUUUUGCAAAUGAUGAUGCUACACGUACACGAGGGUUUUACACACUCAAAACAUGUUUUGUCUCAUAUUUUCCUAAAUAAGGUUAGAUUGUGAAAUUCAAAAUACAUUUUUUAUGUUUUCAGUUACAACUUAAAAAAUANUUGGCUUUAUUUUUGAUAAUAUAUAUAUAUCAUUUUUUUCAUCUAAAUUCCUACUUUUGUUAUAUUUGAUAAACAAUUUUUUUCAUAAAAAAUAUUUUCCAACUUUUGGUCAGGUGACCAUAUUUUCUUCAAAAACAAGGAAAAUAUUUUCUUUAGCGAGGGGUGAUUUCUAUUUUCCUGGUAAUUUACUAUCUCUUUCUCUCUUACCUAACCAUUCCCUCUCAUCUUACCCACCAAUAAAAAAUAAAUAAGUAUAAUAUUUUUAGGUUGAAAACUAAAUCAAUCAAGCAUAUUUAAUUACAGAUUUUCAUACAAAUAAGUUCUAUAAAAUUGAAUUGUCUAAAAUUUAUUUUCUUCCUAUGCAAAUUUCAUACUUGUAAUCAAACGUAUCCUUACUAUUUCAUUUUUAUCUAAAAAAAUGGUGUGUUUAGCCUAUUGUUUUCAAUUUUGCAAAUGAUGAUGCUACACGCACAUGAGGGUUUUACACACUCAAAACAUGUUCUCAUAUUUUCCAAAACAAGGUUAAAUUAUGAAAUUCAAAAUACAUUUUUUAUGUUUUCAGUUACAACUUAAAAAAUACUCAAAACAUGGAAAACAUGCAUUGAAAUAAAUUUUUAUUUAAAUAAAAUUCAGAUAAUUAAAAAUUCUUAAAAAAAAAAAUCAAAGAAAUGAAAUUCAAAAAUAAUAAAUAUUUGACAAAAUUCUAAAAAUAAUGUUUUGAAAAAAUAAAUUCUAAAAUUCUAAAAAUUCUAGAAAAAUAAAUAAUAAAGAAUAGUUAAUCUCUUGAUGAUUAUUUACAUAAAAAAUUGUUAGCUUCAUAUGAUUAGAAUGGGUGAUGGCCCAAAACAUAGUUUGGUUUCCAUGUGUUAAGCAUAUGACCAAUAACUUCAUAACGCUAGCUACUGCGUAUUACUAAAAGUGGAAGUUCUACUACCACACAAUCAUCCCCGAUUAGUUAUAUUCAUGUUCUUCAACUGGUAAUAAUAUGCAAUGAUAGAGAUGGAGUAAUCCUUGUUAAAUAGAGGUUGAACAUUUUAUUUUAUUUUUUUGUUUCUGUAUUCUUGAUAAACCAACAUUUAUAUAUUACACAUGGAUAGGCUCUAAUAAAAUUUGCGUGCGAGACAGGUUACCUAAUUAAUUUUCAGGUUAAAAAAUUACCUGUAUUCUCAACGAUUUGUCAUGUUGAAAAAUUACUCUAACUUAAAAUGAAUAGGAAACCCAUUUUUAGCUACAAGAUAUAUAACAUAAAAAUUUAUAUGAAUUGAUUGCUUUUAACUUAUUCAUUGAUUUUUUUUUUUUAUUAGAAUGUAGAAAUUAAAAUUUUUAUUUAUUUUUAGACUGUUGGAAGAGUGAAAUGAAGUAUUUUAUAAUUUUUCCAAUAUUUUAUUGACUUACUAAAAUUAUUUUUUAUUAAUUUGAUAUUAUAGUUUUGGAAAAGAAAGAUAAUAAAUUUUAUAAAUCUGAUACAUUAAAACAUUCUUUAAACAAAAAUAUUUAAUAAAAAAACAAUAAUUACAAAUAUAAUAUGCAACAUUUUAUGUAACAUUAUAUAUAGGAUGUGAUUUAUUAUUAUAGUUAAGGUUGUUUUUGUUUGUUCAGCUAUUUAUAAUCGGAUAUUUGUAAAUUUUUCCGCAAAAGGCAUUUCUUGUAACCAACAUGCAAAAUGUAGUCUGUAAAAUGUAAAUUUAUAAAAUACAGUAUAUAAAGUAUAAUUACACCCUAUAAAUAUGGCGUAUUUUGUAAAUUUCCCUUCAAAUAAUCUCAUUGCAAUAGAAAAUACUAAUCAAUUUAGGAUAUAGAAAUAUAAUUAUGUUCUAAUUACCAAGUCAAAAUUUCAACAAUUUUUUACAUUGACUUUUAAUUGUACAAUGAUCUUCCAUGUCUCCUUCCAAUUGAAUAAUAUUCCCAUAAUACAGUCCCGUUUCCCCUAUUAUCUUGGUCAUACAACUUGGAAAAUUUUAAAGAACCUUUUCUUUAACUAACACAAUUCUCAAAAUAGAGAAUCAACAUAAUUCAUCAUAAAGGAUAUACAUACUUAAAACCACCAAGUUCUAAGAAUUUCAAUUCGGUGUAUGUUGAACAAACUUGCUGAAAAUUUACUGUGCAAUUCCCAUGUUUGGCUUUUCGGGAAGUUCAUCAACCAUAUAUAUAGCCUCCGUUUGGCCUUUAUUAAUUUUCAUUCUAUUACAUUUCAUUUUUCUCUCUCCUAUUUUCAACCACAAAAUCUUCCAUAAAAUAAUAUUACACAUAAAUCGAAAACUUCUCAUUCUUUUUCAACAACUUAUUUUUCAAACAAACACUAUUCCACCCAUUUUUAUUACCACAAAAUGGGGGUCAAACAGGGGCAUAAAGUAUAGUGGUCAUAUCCAACCUAGACAUUGACCAAGACAAUAUAGCGAAUUAAUGGUUCAACCAAGGAAUCGAUUCUACUCAAAUAUUUUAUUAUUUUGACAUUUUUUUAUUACUAAGAGUGCGUUUGAUUGUCAAUAUUUUUCAAGGAAAAUGUCGUUUUUCACCCAAAUUUUUACAUUUGUGUUAUUUGAUCGAUAUAUUUUUAUGAAAAAUAUUUUCCUACUUUUGAUCACAUGAUUAUAUUUUCGUUAAAAAGAAUAAAAAUAUUUUCAUUAUGAGAGUAUGUAUUUAUUUUCCAAGUAAUUCACCCUCUCUCAUCUAUCCACUCUCUCCCAUCUAGCUACCAAUAAAAAUUGGACAAGUAUAAUAUUUUUUAGGUUAAAAAUAAAAUUAAUCAAAAAUAUUUAAUUGACAAAAUUUAUGCAAAUAAUUUCUAAGUAAUUCAAUGGCUUAAAAUUCAUUUUCUUUCCAUGUAAAUUUCACUCUCGCAAUCAAAAACUGCCCUAAUUAAAUUAACUUCAUGUUAUUUUGGUGAUUAAAGAUCAAUCGGUAGCCAAAUUCCAAAAAUUCUAAAUCAUAUAGUGAAUUAUGCAUUUUAAACCAUAAAACAACAACCAAUUAUAAAAAACUACUUUAUUUCACAAAGUUCAACAAGAUAGCUUCAUAUACUAUAAGAAUAUGCUAGCAAAAAUAAAACAAUCAUUUAAUAGUUAUUUGUGGAUAAAGCACAGGUUAACAAAGUAAAUUAUUUGAAUAAUUCAAUAUUCUCUCAAUUAAGAAAAGUAACAACGCAUACCAUAAAUUCUUCAAUUCCUUCGCCUUGUACUCAUGAUGGAGUCUUGGUCAUACUAAAAUUCUCAUUUCCAUUUUAUCACUUCUAUUUUCAUUGCCAUUGCCAUUGCCAUUGCCAUCACUUCCAUCACCAUCAAAAUCAAGAUCAUCAAAAUGUAAUUUAUCUGGAAAAAAUUUUAAAAUUCAACGUUACAUCAUACAUAUACUUUAAUUAAAAGAAGAAACAAUAACAUUAAUCAAACAAUUAUCAUCAUUUUUAGCUUUUGUAUAGUACACUAAAUCACGACGAAAUGUUUCCUACUUGUAUCAUCUAUCAAUUGAUGGCUUCUCCUCUAACACCCAAUUGCCAUAAAUGCCAAACCUUUCAAAGUCCAUAUGAUCAUAAUUUCGACUCUUAAAGUAAUUCUUAAACAACACAAUUUAUAAAUAAUACAAUAUAAUUCUUGUAAAAGAAAACAAAAUCUAAAAAUCAAAUAAAUCAUAAAAUGAUGAAAUUUUAAUCAUUUGGUGCUUGAGUCUAUUUCUCCUUUUUGAGUGGAUAUGGUCAAACAUACUCUAAUUUCCUUCAUUGCUUGAAGAACUAAAUGUUUGACUUAAUAUUCGUGUUGCAAGUGUUUGUAGGUUAGGUACACUAUGAUAACAAAUCCACCAUUCAUCUGUAUAAAAAUAAAAGCAAAAUAAAAUAAAUGUAAAUUAUAUAAACUGAAAAUAGAACUAGAUAAAACUACAAAAAACUGUGGUCUAGUAAGUCAACAAAUUAUACAAGACUUAAAGCUUUUGGUUACACUGCCUAUUCUCAUCAAAGUGAAGGCAAACUUGAACCAAGAUCCAUAAAAUGUUUUUCUAGGUUAUGGAGAGGAAAUCAAAGGUUAUAACUUUGAUUAAAGAGUCAACAUGAUUUCAAAGUCAUCAUUAGUAGGAAUAUCAUUUUCAAUGAAAAUGAUAUGCCCUAUAAACUUGAAUGAUCUCAAUGAUUUGAUUGAGGUGGAGAUUAAAUAAAUCAUUAUGAAGAUGAAUCUAAAAAUGAAGUUGAAUCUCAAAAUCAUGCUAUUGCCGAUUAUCAACUAACUAGAGAUAGAAGUAGAGGAAAUAGAUUUUCGUCUACUAAAAUUAGCAUUGAUGAUUUUGGGACUUUGUUUUCUGCAUUUGACUCCUUAAAUUUUGAACCAACUACUUUUGAAGAGGCAAGUAUUGAAUCACAUUUUUGGACAGAAUCUAUGAAAGAUGAGAUGGACUCUUUGAUUAAAAAUAAAACUUGAAUUUUGGUUAACAAACCUAAAAAUCAAUAAGUAGUGGACUAUAAGUGGAAUUUUAAAAUCAAAGAAGGAGAUUCUAGUACAAGGAACAAAAGAUAUAAAACUAGACUUACAGCUAGAGAGUUCUCUCAAAGAAAGGGAAUUGGAUAUAAUGAAAUAUUUCCCUUAUUACAAAAUAUACUCCAAUCAGGAUUCUGCUUGUUUUGACUACUCAUUUUAAAUGGAAACUUGAUUAGUUUGAUGUUAAAGCUACAUUUCUAAAUGGUGAUCUUGAUGAGGUUAUUUAUAUGAGUCAACUAAAGGGUUUUAAAGUUAAUCCAAAAUAUGAAAAAGGUAUGUCUGUUAAAAAAGUCUCUUUUUGGCUUAAAAGAAGCCUUCAGACAAUGGUACAAGAAAUUUAACUUAUAUGUUCAAAUUUUGGAUUUUGUUAAGAGCAAUUUUGGAUAUUGUUUCUUUUACAAAUGAUAGGAGAACCUGAAUUUCUUUAUUUGCUAUUAUAUGUUGAUGACAUAUUGCUAGCUUGUCAUGAUAGAUCUGAUAUAAAUUUAAUUAAGUCGAAAUUGGAAUCUGAAUUUGAAAUGAAAAAUCUAGAACAAGCUAAAGGAAUUCUUAGAAUGGAAAUUAAAAGAGUUCGAAAGAAUUGUAUUCUUUAUUUGAAUCAAUGCUCUUAUGUGAAAUAAUACUUAAAGGGUUUUCUAUGCUUGAAUGUAAACCUGUUUCACUUCCUAUUGCUAAUCAUUUUAAAUUGUAUAGUGAACAGUCGACUAAAACAUGUGAUGAGUUUGAAAGAAUGAAAAAUGUACCUUAUGCUAACUUUAUAGGGUCGAUUAUAUAUCUCAUGGUGUGUACUAGACCUGAAGUGGCUCAUGGCACAAGUAUUCUUAAUAGAUUUAUGGCAAACAAAGGUGAAACGCACUAUUUAGUUAUUAAGUGGAUGUUGAAAUAUUUGACAAGUUCAUCUGACUUAGGUUUAAAAUUUAAAAAUUCUUAAAGGCUAUACUGAUUCUGAUUUUGCUGGAAAUUUAGAUGAAAGAAGAUUCACUUCAUCUUAUAUUUUUUACUUUGUCUAAUGGAUGUGUUAGUUGGAAAUCUCAAUUGCAAAAACUCAUAGCCUUAUCUUCUACAGAGGCAGAAUAGAUUGUUGUCUAUGAUGCUGUUAAAGAAAAAUAUUUGGUUACGAGGAUUGUUAAAUGAAAUUGGUUCAAAAAAUGAAAUGGUUAGAAUUUAUACUGAUAAUCAAAGUGCCAUUCACCUUAGUAAAAAUUCUAUAUAUCAUGAUAGAACAAAACAUGUUGAUGUAAAGUUUAAUUUUGUGAGAAAAAUUCCUAUUGAAUUUAAUCCAUCUGAUUUUCGAACCAAGGUACUGUAUAAAUUCAAAAACUGCUCGAAAGGUUGUGAAUUUAGAAUAUCAAGCUGUAUUUUUUUAUAUGUUUACUAAAAUUUUUUUUUCCUCCCUUCUUACAUGUAAAUAAGAGCAAUGAAACAGGCUCCUACUAACGGUUAUCUAUCAACAACGAGAAGUUUUUGAACUUAAUGUAUGUUUUAAGAAGUUUUGUGCUUAUUCCUGGAUUGAAGCAAGU